rnacentral:misc_RNA from 1 species
GAAAUGCGAUAAGUAAUGUGAAUUGCAGAAUUCAGUGAAUCAUCGAAUCUUUGAACGCACAUUUCGCCCGCCAGUACUCUGGCGGGCAUGCCUGUUCGAGCGUCAUUUCAACCAUCAAGCCCCCGGCUUGUGUUGGGGACCUGCGGCUGCCCGCAGGCCCUGAAAAACAGUGGCGGGCUCGCUGUCACACCGAGCGUAGUAGCAUACAUUCUCGCUCAGGGCGUGCUGCGGGUUCCGGCCGUUAAACGACCUUCAUAACCCAAGGUUGACCUCGGAUCAGGUAGGAAGACCCGCUGAACUUAAGC